GAAAAUACUCCAAGUAGUGUAUAGCUCUAAACUGCAAGAAUCCACUCCAGAUGAAAAUAGCUCAUACCAGCCCCUCUCCAGUACCCCUCAGACCUUCUAAAUUAGUAUCUUCUUCCUCUUCAGCUCACAAGGACUCACACAUGUCCAGUCCCACGCUGGGCACUGUUGGUGCAACAGUGAUAAGACUGUCAUUGCCCACGGUCAUGGAGGAAUUCUCCAUUUGUCAUCUUUUCUUAUUUUGAUUAUUACUAUACUCAGAAUGAUGACAGAUUAUUUUAUUGUGUCUGCUUACAAAUGGGAAGAAUGGCAAGAACAGUACACAGCCGUGCUCUAUAACCUUUCCCUUGUGCCUGUAGGCUACUCCAGGUAUCAGGAUUAUUACCCAUAUGGCCAGCCAGGUUACUCUGAAGACAUACCCAGGAACUAUGAUGCAUACACAGCAGGACUGAGUGAGGAGGAACAGCUAGAGAGAGCAUUAAGAGCCAGCCUCUGGGACCGAGCAAACAGAAGACAGAGGCAUACAGAGAGGACGCCAUUCACUCGAGACUCAGAAUUCAGGGAUCUUCCUCCGGAGUAGUGACGUCAUAACAUCUGCCAUCACCUUACGUGUCAUAAAGUUCAGCAGGUGGAACACGUGGGUAGUGAGCAUCCUUUCUCAUAUGAAUGGCUGUAUCGUAUCUAAGUUGGGGGUGAUCUGGGUUAUUGACCCUAAGUUUCAAUUAGUGGGUUCCAGACCAUGGCCCAUCUAAGGAUUAUGGUUGUUCCCCUGAAAGUGAUGAGUCGUGAAGGGUUUGAACCAAGAGGGGAACAGAGAAAAUGGAUGAAGACCCCGAGCUGAGAGGAUGGCCCAUUGGAAAAACUAAGUUGUCUGGGCCUGCAAGAUAUUUUUCACGUGGAGCCCCCAAGUGGCGAGCUAGGUGGGAAUCCACUUGUGAAAGGUCCUGUACAUGGUGUUUAAGGGUUUUGUAGCUGGCCCUGGGGAUGGUGGAAGCCAGGGAGAGUUUUAAGUAGGGGAGCAAUAAGAGCAAAUACGGAUUUGAAGGUCACUGUGCUGUGUGUGAGGAUCGGGUUGCAGGGGGAGAGACGGAGUUUAAGUGAGUCCUGGCAUACCAGGCACCAUUGUAAGUGACCUGCAUCUGUGUGUAUACGUGCGUGUGCGUGUGCACGUGUUGAUCCAACAACAAUGAGGUGAGUUUUACUAUUUACCGAUUCCAGAGAAGACGAAACCAAACGGAUGCUGACUGAGGUCACACAACUAGUAGGCGGUAGAUGUGAGCCCAAACA